UACAGAGGGGGCAAGCGUUGUUCGGAAUUACUGGGCGUAAAGGGCGCGUAGGCGGCCUGUUAAGUCGAACGUGAAAUCCCCGGGCUCAACCCGGGAACUGCGUCCGAUACUGGCAGGCUUGAAUCCGGGAGAGGGAUGCGGAAUUCCAGGUGUAGCGGUGAAAUGCGUAGAUAUCAGGAGGAACACCGGUGGCGAAGGCGGGUCUCUGGGCCGAUGACUGACGCUGAGGAGCGAAAGCGUGGGGAGCGAACAGG
rnacentral:rRNA from 1 species